CGCAGCUGGAGUGGACAGGACGGCUUUCGAGAUUUGGCGCGGCCUUUGUCUCUGGCUGCAGUCGUAGCUCCAGGUCUUUUCUUCUCUGUUCUGUGUCUUCUGCUCCUAGAGGCCCAGCUUCUGUGUCCCUGUGACCUGUAGGUAUUGGGAGAUCCACAGCUAAGAUGCCAGGACCCCCUGGGAAGCCUAGAAAAAUGGUUCUGCCUGCAAAGAAGAUUGUGACAUAUUGCUGGUUGCAACACCACGGUGAUGUUACUUUUUGCCUUCUCACUGCCCUCAGAAGGCAUUGUGAUAUGUUGGUGGUCCCAGCUUCAAAGAAAUGUUCCGUGACUCUCCUGUCUGUGCCCUGCCUACAUGGAUUAUUGUGACAUAUUGCUGGGUCCAACACCCAGGUUCUGCCUGUAGAAAAGAUUGUAACAUAAUGCUGGGCCCAACUUCAAGGUGGCAUUACUUUUUUGACUUGGCCUUGCUCUCAGAAGACAUUAUAACAUACUGCUGGGCCCAGAACCAAGGUGAUGUUAAGUCUUCUGACUAAAACCUACCCACAGAAGACAUUGUGACAUAUCUCUGGGCCCAUCAACUAUUUGAUGUGACUCUACUCUUAUCUGAGUUUUUUUAAUAAAAGAGAUUUUGACAUAUCUUUGGGCCCAGCACCUAGGUGAUUUGACUCUCUUCUGCUGUGUGAGCCAUGACCAGAGAUGGAGAGUGACUUAUCGCCUGAACCAGCACACAAAUGUAAUUAUUCUGAUUUCUUUCCAAAGAAGUCAUCGUGACAUAUUUUUGAGGCCAUCGCCUAAAUGAUACAAUUUUUUUUUCCUUGGGCCUUGCCCACUGAGGUGAUUGUGAAAUACAGCUGGGCUCAGCCCUUAGGUUAUGUGACUCUCCUCUUUUUUUCUGAGCCCUAUCCACAAUGGGCAUUGUGACAUAUCUCUGGGCCCAUCACCUAGGUGAUGUGACUCUUUUCUGGGCCUUCACUCAGGGUACAUUAUGAUAUAUACCUGUAUCUAGCACCUAGGUAAUGUGACUCUCCUAUUCUGCCUGGGCCGUGCAUAUAUUGUGUACUGGGACAUAUUUCUGGGUCCAGCACCUAGGUGAUUUUGCCCUCCAGCACAGCCCCUGCCAUCAGGGUUAUAAUAUAUCUUUCUAUUCAUCACCUACAUGAUGUGACUCUUUUUGUUUGCCUUUGUCCUGCCAAAAAGGGGAUUGUGACAUUUCACCCAGCACCCAGGUGAUGUGACUCUCCUCUUACGAUUGGGACUUAGAAUUUUUGGUAGUGUGACAUACUGCUGAGCUUAACACCUUGGCAGUUGGAGGCUCUUGCCUGGGCCUGGCUCACAGUUGCCCUGUGACAUAAUUUUGCAUCAAUCAUCUGGGAGAUGUGACUCUUCUUUUCUACCUUCACUCUGCCCAAAGGGAAGAUUGUCACAUAUCGCUGGGCUCAGCAACCAGGUAUGUGUCUCUCCUGCUUGUGACUUGCCAACAGAGAGCAUUGUGACAUACUCCUGAGCCAAUCACACUGGUGAUGGGACUCUGCUUCAUGUGACUUGCUUUCAGGAAGAAAUUGUAACAUAUCUCUGGUUGAGCACCCAGGUAAUGUGACCCCUCCUGCCUCACCCCUGCCCUCUGGAAAGAUUGUGACAUAACUCUGGCCUAUCACUGAAGUGAUGUGACUCUUCUGUUGGCUCUCUGUGGACAGUAUCUGGGAUUACAGGCACAUGCCACCACCCCCAGCUAAUUUUUUGUAUUUUAGUAGAGACGGGGUUUCACCAUGUUGGCCAAGAUGGUCUUCAUCUCCUGACCUUGUGAUCCGCCCAUCUCGGCCUCCCAAAGUGCUGGGAUUACAGGCGCGAGCCACCACGCCCGGCCCGGGAUGGUGACUCAUUUCUAAACCCAGCUCAUAGGCAGGUGAGGACUCUCCAAUCUAGAUCCAUCCAGUUGGAGACAUAUUGAUUCGCAUAUCUAGGCUUAGAACCAUUGGUAUGAUUAUUUGUCUAUAUCAUCACAAAGGUUGCAAAGAAGACUGCGACUCUUAUGCAUACUGUAUAAAACACUUGAAUAGUGCUGAGUGCUGAGCUCAGCAUACAGGUGACAUUGUGACAUUUAGAUGUACACCCAACAGACAGCAAAGAUUGUCAUCAUUCUACAUUAACAGUCCACUGUUGCGUUUCUGAAUCUCACACUCAAAGUCAGUCGAAAGUUGGAUAACUGACUGUAUACAUGGAUGACUGUCAUACGUGGACUCCAUCCACAGGUGGGUUGCUGACUUUCAGACCAAGAUUUAGCACACCCAUGAUGUUGUGAAUCCACGGAGGAGACAAAGUCUGCAGGAGAAGUUUAGGCUCCCAAACACAUGUCUAGUCCACCAAUGAGAUUGUGACUUGUGUACUUACGUUGCGGGAAAUUAAGGAACCGGAGAGACCAAAUGGAGGGCAGGAAGUGUUUAUUUAAGGUGUACACUGGCUCAGUGGACAUGUGUCCUGAAAGUCUGAGCCCCGAACAAAGAAAACGAGUUCCUUUUAAGUAUUUUGAGGCGGGCACUAUGUGAAGCAGGAAGCAGGCUUACAGAAGCAAGAACAAAGGCUGCUGUGAUAUUUUUGCAACAUGUCUUACAUCUUUGGGAAUACUUGGUUUGUAGCUUAUGCUUAUUUGUUUUGUGACCUUGCAGCUGUGCAGGGAAGAAAGGAACAGGAGCUUAUAGAGCCUACAAAAUAUGUGGAGAGUGGAUAUGGUUAAUGUUUCUUGGGACAGGCAGUUAAUUUUUUUUUUAACUUUAACUUCGUGGGGCGCUACUUAAAUUUUUUUCAGCCAUGGUUAAUACAGCAAUUCAUUCUAUGAGCUAUUAUUAUUUGUCUUACUAUUACUAUAAUCUUUACUAUUAUUACUUAUGCUAUUAUUUUGUUAUUUUCUUAAUUUCUUACUUCACUUAUACCCAACCUACAGUGAGCAGUGACUCUCAUAACAAGAGCCAGGAAAGGUGUGAGAUUGGUAGUCUCAUCCCUGGACCUCCUGCAGGUGUGAUUUUGACAUACACCUCUCCUCAGCACCUGAGUGAUUUGACUCUCCUGCCUGAGUCCAGCUUACAAAUGAGAUUGUGACAUAUCACUGGACCCAGCACCUUGGUAAUAUGACUAUCCUCCUGCUUUGGCACUGCCCACAGAAGGUAUUGAGACAUAUUGCUGAGCCUAGCACUUCUAUGAUUUGACUCUGCUGCCUGUACCCUGCUUUCAGGAAGGGAUUGUAGCAUAUCUGGCUGAGCAUCUAGGUGAUGUGACUCUCUUGCCUGGUGCCUGCCCUCAGGAAAUAUUGUGAUAUAUAUAUAUAUUGCCCUCAGGAAAUAUUGUGAUAUAUAUAAAAUAUAUGAUCCAGAUCAAGGUGCAAUAGUAACUAUUGUAACUUGAGUCAGCAAAUAGGAGAGAUACUGUCUCUUGUAGCUAGGCUUAGGGUACUAGGUAAGAUUCUGGGUCUCCUCUUUGUAUGAAGGUCAUAAAGAAUUACCACUCACUCACAUACCUUAUAAAGCCCUCAAAUGUUACAGACAGUGUAAUUACAGGGCCCGGCACACAGGUGAGAUUGUGUUUUUUCUAUGCAUACCCUGCCAACUGUUAGGAUUGUCACCCUCACACAUUGAAAGAGCCCACUGGUGAGGUUCUAAACUACACACAUGUAUGAGGUCUACAGUUGAAAUUGUGAUUGUCAAAUAUCAACAUCCUGCUACAGUUGAGACGGUGACUCAUUUAUAAACCCAGCUCAUAGGUAGGUGAGAACUCUUAUAUCUGGACCCAGCCAAUUGAAGGGAUGUUAACUCUUGUACUUGCUCUUAGGUCCACAGGUACAAUCAUGGGUCCAUACCAGCAUGAAGGUCUCAUACCAAAUUUAUUUUUUUGUUUUUUUAUUAUUAUUUUCUUGAGACAGAGUCUCUGUUACCCAGGCUGGAGUGUAGUGGCGUAAUCUCGGCUCACUGAAACCACCGCCUUCCGGGUUCAAGCAAUUCUUCUGCCUCAGCCUCCUGAGUAGCUGGGACUACAGGCGUGCGCCACCACACCUGGCUAAUUUUUGUAUUUUUAGUAGAGAUGGGGUUUAGUAGAGAUGGGGUUUCACCAUCUUGGCCAGGCUGGUCUUGAACUCUUGACCUCGUGAUCUACCCACCUCGGCCUCCCAAAGUGCUGGGAUUACAGGUGUGAGUCACCACGCCUGGCCAACAAAUUGCCACAUUCUAAAGCCCUUGGGUGGUACUGAGUGUGUUUUUAACAGGGCCCAGCACACAGGUCAGAUUGUGUUACUUGUAUACAUACCCAGCCAAUUGUAAAGAUUGUCAUCUUUUAUGAACUGUGUUUAUAGGUGCUCAGGUUCUGAAUGUGCUCAGGUUCUGAAUAUCACAUCUGAAGGUGGUGGAAAGUUGGAAAAUUGACUCCCCUACAUAAAUUCCAUUCACAGAAUGAUGGGUGACUCAGGACCAAGAUUUAGCACAUUUGUGAGGCUGUGACUCUGCUACAGGAGCAUCUUGACAGAUCGCUGGGCCUUGCACCCAAGUGAUGUGAGUCUCCUCUGCUGCCUUUGUGCUUUCCACAGGGAACAUUGUGACACAUCGCUGGGCAGCACACCCGGGUUAUGUGACUCUCCUGCCUGUGCCCUGCCCAAGAAAUGUGUCUCUCCUCUUCUGCCUGCACCUUGCCAACAGAGAAAAUUGUGACAUAUUACUGAGCCUAGCAACCAGGUGAUGUGUCUCUCCUGCCUGGGCCUGGCUGACAGAAAGCAGUGUGAUAUAUUCCCGGGCCCAGCAAACAGGUAAUGUGACUCUCCUGCCUAGUCCCUGGCCUCCAGGAAGAUUUUGACAUAUUCCUGGCUCCAAAAAACAGGUGACGUGACUCUACUUAUCAUUCCCUAUCCACGGGUGUAAUUGUCACAUUUAUCUUGGCCUAGCUCACAGAUGGCAUAAGUCUCAUACCUUGAACCAGCCAAUAGCAGAGAUCCUGUGUCUCUUAGCAAGGCUUAGGCAAAUAGGUGAGUUCAUGGGCCUCCGCUUUAUAAAGAUUGUAAAUGCCAUUCUCUUGCAUAUUGUGUAAAGGUCUUGAAUGGUACAGAAAGUGUCAUUACAGAGCCUAGCACACAGGUAAGGUUGUGUUUCUCAUAUGCUCACCCUAAAAACCCUUAGUAUUGUCAACCUCCCACAUGGAUGGAACUCACUAAUGAGGUUCUUAAUCUCACAAACACAGUCCAUAGUUGAAAUUGUGACUGUCAUAUGUGAACAUUCAGCCAGAGUUGAAAUGGUGAAACAUUUCUAAACCCAGCUCCUAGGCAGGUAAGGCAUCUUCUUUCUGGACUCAGCCAAUUGGAGACAUGUUGACUCUCAUACCUGGGCUUAGGGCCACAAGUACAAUCAUGGGUCCAUACCAGCAUGAAGGUCUCAGACAAGAUUGCACUCCCAUGCAUACAGUACAAAGCCCUCAAGUAGGACAGAGAAUGUUCUAAUAGACCUCAGGACACAGGUGAGAUUGUGACACUCAUAAGCACACCCAGCCAACAGUAAUGAUUGUCACCCUCCCACAUGAACACAACACAUUGUUGAGAUUCUGAACCCCACAAUAAAAAAAAAGUGCCAAAAGUUGAACAAUUGUCUCAUCGUUUAUUUCAGUCCACAGGUGGGUUAUUGACACUCAGACCAAGAUUCAGUACACCUGAAAGACUGUGACUCCACUAAGAAAACAGUCUGUGAGAGGAAUUGAGGCUCUCGUCCAUGGAUCUAGUCCACUGUUGAGAUUGUGAAUCAUGUACUUAGGCCCAACAUAAAAGAGGUGUUGAUUCUCAUACCUGGAACCUGGACAUGUGCAGGAUUGUUAAUCUCAUUUAUGAACAUUCCUGCAGCUGUGAUUGUGACAUAUGCCUCUGCCCAGCACCUGAGUGAUUGAAUUCUUCUGCCUGGGCUCAGCCCACAGAUUGGAUUGUGAAACAUUGCUGAACCCAGGACCUAACUAAUGUAAAUCUAUUCUCCUGCCUUGGCACUGCCCACUGGGAACCCUGUGACAUAUUGCUGCACCCAACACCCAGGUUAUGUGGCUCUCCUGCCAGUGCCUUGCCCACACGGGCUGUUGUGACAUAUUGCUGGGUCCACACCCAGGUGAUAUAAUUCUCUUGCCUAGGCCCUGCUUACAGAGAGCAUUGUGACAUAUCUUUCUGCUCAUCACACAGUUAAUAAGACAGUUUCUGCCUGGUUUCUCCUUACAGGGUGUAUCAAAACAGAUUGCUAGGCCCAGCACCUAGCUGAUGUGACUCUUUCUAGGUUUUGCCCACAAGGAACAUUGUGACAUAUCACUGGGCCCAACAGCAAGGUGAUGUUGCCCUUUUGCUUUGGCCUUGCUCUCAGAAAGCAUUGUGACAUAUUGCUGAACCCAGCACCAAGGUGAUGUGAGUUGGUAUGCCUGGACCCUGCUAACAAGAGGCAUUGUGACAUACUUCUGGGACCAUCAUCUAUUUGAUGUGACUCUCCUUUUACCUGGGCUUCUGUUGUAAAAGAGAUUGUGACAUAACUCUGGGCCUAACAGCUAGACUUGUCUGCAGCGCAGAUUGCUACAUAUUGCUUGGCCCAGCUCCUAUGUGAUGUGACUCUCCUGUCAUACCUGAGUGCUCCCCACUGCGAUGGGCAACAGACCAACUUCAGCUUGCAACCCUCUGGAGUGCAUUCUGUAACACUGGAACUUCUUUAACCUCCGGACUUUGAAGAAGAAAGCAACCAUUUUCUUUUGCACAAGGGCAUGACAUUUAUACUACACCUUUGCAGGUAGUGUAAGAUCAACCCAGCUUUUUAAAAAGUCAUAUCAGGCAGGCUUAUAGAAAAUGAUUCACCAGAAUUAGAAAAGCAAGUUCCAGGGAAGCCAUUUGAGAAUCCCCCUUAUUUAGAGCCAUCUCAAGUUCUCUUAUUACAAGACCUUAGCCAAAUAAAGGAAGACUUAGGCUGAUUUUCUGACAACCCCCAAUAGGUAUAUAGAAGCUUUCCAAAAUUUGACUCAGGUGUUUCACCUCACAUAGAAGGAUGUUGUGCUGCUCCUAAACCAAACCCUAACUGCAGCUGAAAAGCAGGCAGCUCUACAGGCAGCAGAGAAUUGCAGAAAUGAACAAUAUGUCGCCUAUAAUGCACCAAAAUUUAAAAAGGAGAAAGUGAAGAAAUAACAGAAACACCAUUCCCAAUAGGAAGGGAAGCAGUUCCUCUUUACAACCCUGGUUGGAACUCCAAUAGCUCUGCAGAUAAAUGGAAAAAAAAAAAAACACUUUAAUAUGCAUAUUAGAGGGUUUAUGAAUAGGGACAAAUCUCUUACUCUAAACUGUCCAUGAGGACAAAUCUCUUACUCUAAACUGUCCAUGAUAGACCAAAUGCCAGAAAAGAGUCUUGCAGCCUUUAUGAAAAGGCAGAGAGAGGCACUAAUAGAGCAUAUCUCCUUUUCUUCUGAUCCAAUCAACAAAUAGUGCAUUCUAAAGGACAGGUUUAUUACGCACGAAGCUCUCGAUAUUUUUUUUUUUUUUUUUUUUUUUGAGACGGAGUCUCGCUCUGUGGCUCAGGCUGGAGUGCAGUGGUGCGAUCUCAGCUCACUGCAAGCUCUGCCUCGGGAUUCACGCCAUUCUCCUGCCUCAGCCUCCCGAGUAGCUGGGACUACAGGCGCCCGCCACUGCACCCAGCUAAUUUUUUGUAUUUUUAGUAGAGACAGGGUUUCACCAUGGUCUCCAUCUCCUGACCUCGUGAUCCGCCCGCCUCGGCCUCCCAAAGUGCUGGGAUUACAGGCGUGAGCCACCGCGCCAGGCCAAGCUCUUGAUAUUAAAAAAGAAACUACAAAAGCAGGCUAUAGAAUCAGAUAGCACCUUAGAGAACCUCCUGAAGGUAGCCACUUCAGCCUUUUAUAAUAGGGACCAGGAGAAAACCCAAGAGAAAGCGAGGAAACUCAGGAGAAGGACAAAGGCUCUAGUAGUUGCUUUGCAAGCCUGCAAUGUCCAGGAUUUCCAAGGUUCAUCUGCUCAUUGCUAUCAGUCUGGCAAGUCAGGGUACUUUAAGAAGCAGUGCCCAAGCAUCAAGAAGAAGCCACCUCAACCCUCUGCAGGCUGUGGCAGAGACACUAGAGAGCAAACUGCCCCCAGAGAUGAGGUCACUAGAUUCAGAACCAGUCUCACAGAUCGUUUGGCAGGAAUAAUGGGUCCUAGGGACCCAACCCCCAGCUCCAGCAGCUCAAACUGCCAUUAUAGCCUAGGAUCCCAAGGUGAUUCUGGAAAUUAAAAGAAGGAAGAUAAUCAUCCUUCUAAACAAUAGAGCCAGUCUCCCUCUUUUCUGUUCUCUAAUUCAGGUCUCCCCUCUUCCUGUAGCCACUGCCAUGGUGGCUCUACUACUUAGAAAAGUCUCCAAAUUAACCCUGGAAAUUAUAAUCAUAAUUCUCUUUAAUUAUACUAGAGAAUUUAACUUACACCCCACACAACAUGACACAAUUACUGUCCUCUAGGGGGACCUCUUAGGUAACAAAUAGCCAGUAAAGCAAAAAAUACAUAAGGCAAGAUACUCAGUAGUCACUCUAAACAACGUUAUUAAAAGUGUGUCUCUCUCCCCAGCACAAACGCUCAAUUAGCUGAACUGAUAGCUCUUACAAGAGGACUUGAAUUAAACAAAGGAAAGGUAGCUAACAUUUACACAGACUAAAAGUAUGCUUUCUUGGUUCUUCAUGCUCAUGCUGCCAUUUGGAAGAAAAUACAUUUUCUUACCGCUAAUGGAUCUCUUUUAAAGUAUCACCAGAAAAUUAUUCUCCGUUUUUCUUCCAUGAAAAAUAGCAAUGAUGCAUUGUAAGGGACAUCAAAAGGGAACAGAUGAAGUAGCCGAAGGAAAUACGUUAGCUAAUCAGGCAAUUAAGUCAGCAGCAAGGAAGCCUUGAGGCAUCAACACACUUCAAGCCCCUCUAACCUGGGAAGGCUCCAUAAGAGAAAUUAAGCCUCAGUACUCCCCUGCAGAAAUAGAAUGGGCCACUUUUCGAGGGUAUAUUUUUAGACCUCAGGAUGGCUACAAUCAGAGGAUGGCAAACUCCAUUCGCCAGCCUUCAGCCAAAGGAAAAUCCUUAGAAUCUUUCACCAAGUUUUUCACUUAAGAAAGGAUAAAACUUAUCACUAUGCCCAGAGAUUGUUUUCAGAAGAGAACUUACUAAAAACAGUCAAAUAGGUUGUUAAUUCCUGUGAAGUCUGUCUUAAAAAUAAUCCACUGAACAGGUGGCUCCUUCCUCCUAAAACCCAAAAAAUAAGAAGCUAUCCAGGGGGAGGACUGGCUGAUAGACUUCACCCGCAUGCCAAAGACAAAGGGUAUCCAAUACCUUCUGUUUUGGGUAUAUACUUUUACUAACUGGGUGGAAGCAUUUCCAUGCCAUACAGAAAAGACCUCUGAGGUAAUAAAAGUGUUAAUUAAUAAAAUAACUCCAGCCAGGCGCGGUGGCUCAGGCCUGUAGUCCCAGCACUUUGGGAGGCCGAGGCGAGCGGAUCACGAGUUCAGGAGUUCGAGACCAGCCUGGCCAACAUGGUGAAACUUCGUCACUACUAAAAAUACAAAAAAAUUAGGCAUGGUGGUGCACACCUGUAAUCCUAGCUAUUCAGGAGGCUGAGGCAGGAGAAUUGCUUGAACCUGGGAGGCGGAGGUUGCAGUGAGCUGAGAUCAUGCCACUGCACUCCAGCCUGGGUGACAAAGCGAGACUCUGUUUCAGAAAAAGAUAAACAAACAAAAAAAACCCCUGCUUUGGUCUACCUAAAUACCUUCAAAGUGACAAUGGCCCCUCAUUUAAGGCAGCUGUCACAUGGGAGUCUCAAAUGUGCUAGGCACAGAAUAUGGUCUCCAUUGUGCUUAAAAAUCCCAAUUCUCAGUAAAGGUAUAGAACAAAUGAUAUUAUCAAGAGACACCUUAAAAAACUUGUCACUCUUCUUCCCAUGGCCUUACUAUGGGUAAGAAAUAUGCCUUCCAAGUUAGGUGUAACCUGGGUGCGGUGGCUCAGGCCUGUAAUCCUAGCACUUUGGGAGGCCGAGGCUGGUGGAUCACAAGGUCAGGAGAUCAAGACCAUCCUGGCUAAUACGUUGAAACCCCAUCUCUACUAAAAAUAUAAAAACAAAAUAAGCUGGGUGUGGUGGCGGGCGCCUGUAGUCCCAGUUACUAGGGAGGCUGAGGUGGGAGAAUGGCAUGAACCCAGGAGGCAGAACUUACAGUGAACCGAGAUCGCGGCACUGCACUCCAGCCUGGGAGACAGAGUGGGACUCUGUCUCAAACAAACAAACAAAAACAAAGUUAGGUCUAAGCUCUAUAAAUGGCCUUUUCUUACCAACGAUUUUUCUAUUAAAGCAGAAAACCUAAUUUGGUUAAGUAUGUAACCUCUCUAGCUCACUUCCAACAAAAAUUAACACAACUAGCAGUAGCCCAACCCUAAGAAAUAAGACCACCUUCAUUUAACCCAGGAGAUUUGCUAUCAGUAAAUCUCAUGCCUCUCUCUCUCUUUCCCUAAGCCCAAGCUGGGAAGGGCCCUACACUGUUUUUUUUCAACCCCCUCUUCCCUUGGCAAUAAAAGUUACAGGUAUUUGCUGGGCGUGGUGGCUUAUGACUGUAAUCCCAGCACUUUGGGAGGCCAAGGUGGGCGGAUCACCUGAGGCCAGGAGUUUGAGACAAGCCUGGCCAACAUGGUGAAACCUCAUCUCUACUAAAAAUACAAAAAUUAGCUGGGCUGCAUGGUAUGGGGCUGUGAUUUCAGCUACUCGGGAGGCUGAGGCAGGAGAAUCGUUUGAACCCAGGAGGCUGAGGUUGCAGUGAGCCAAGAUCGCACCACUGCACUUCAGCCUGGGCGACAGAGCAAGACUCCAUCUCAAAAAAAAAAAAAAAAAAAAAAAAAAAAAAAUUACAGAUAUCAACUCUUGGAUACACCACACUCAAGUCAAGUCCUGAAGAGCUGAGGGAGCAACCCCUUACAAGCCCAGAGGAAUGUCCUGAAUAUCAGUGUGAAGAAAUAGAAAAUCUUAAGCUGAAAAUCAUAAAAGAUAAGUAACUUAGGGCUACUCAUCUUGCUCACUACUACGUCAUUGGACACUUUUUGUCAUUUCUAUUUUUCCUCUCCAAGUUUGCCGCCAACUAUUAAAACUUCUCUUUUAACACAUAUUUACAAGAAAAUUUUAAUUAUUCAUAGGAUUGCAUUUGUAACUUCAUAGAACCCCAAAGGGAAAUUCUAUACCUUGGCAAAUAAAAUUUAUAAAUAAAAAUUACUACAUCACUCUUGUGGGAGUUGCUAAAUUCACUCUACUAUUUGUAGUAGAACUAUACACUAUGGAACUCACAGUGUGGAAUUCUAGUUGUAAAAUUCUAAUUGCCAUAAUACUUUGCCUAAUUAUCAUCUUUAUAAGAGGAAUAAUAAUUGAAUAAUUGUAGAAAAAAUUUAGUCAAGGUUGCUUUGCUUAAUUAUUAUCCCUAUAGCAGGGGUAAUAGUUACAGACAAGAAGUAAGCAUGAAAGUUAUACUAUCACUGAGCUUGACAGGACUUUUUAUUAAAGAUUGGCAAUAUGGUGCACUCCAAGCUAUGGAAAGAAGGUUAUAAAAGAGAUUUUAUAAGCAAGGCUUUUAUGGUAAAUUCUUGUCCUAAAAAGACUGGUUGUUUAAAGGAAGGAUAUUUAGGACAAGUCAGAAAGUUUAAGAAUGUUGUAAGAUAAUCUGUGGAAGUCAUGAAAGAACUUAAUAAAGGAAAGAAAUGGCCAAGAUUAACACUUAAGUUACUUUAGCCACUGAAUAAUGUAUUUCUCUUAAUCAUAUCACAAGUUAUAAAAAAUUGCCCGAACCUAAAAUUAUCUCCUGACGGCAAGCCAAGGGGAUAAAUGUAUGUGUUUCUCAAAGAAAAAUGUUACUUUUACAGUAACGUUUCUGGUAGUCUACAGCGACAUCUAGUGGACAUCUACCUGUAUUACAACUAAUUGAAAUAGUAACAGGUAUCAAACUCUGCUGUCAUAGUUAUGGCCUAUAGUACUCUCACUAAUAAUAAUAAUCUUAAUACUCAUGUUAAAACCCUAUAUUCUAAAACUUCUUGUAAAAUUUAUCUUUUUACCUAGAAAAAAACUCCAAAUGGCGCUGCAAACAGAACCACCCAUAGACAUGCCAUUCUUCCGAGAACACUUAAAUAAACCUCAGGAGGAGCCCCAGCUGUUGAUCCCCCACACGACACCCCUUUUCAGCAGGAAGUAGCCAGAAAUAUUCGUCGUCCAACACCCCCAACAGCAGUUAGAAUACUAUCUUCUGAGGGGUGAAUAACAUAGGAGUUUAAAAAAAUAUAUUUUAGGCAGUUAGCAAGGGUAAAAGAGUUCUCGGUGGAAUUUUCCUUCAAUGAAAAGCAGCCAAAAAAC
rnacentral:lncRNA from 1 species